rnacentral:lncRNA from 1 species
GUGUCAUGGUACUCGGCUAUUAAGAGACAUGCUUAAUUUGAAAGUCUGUUAAAAACGUUUGAAGGGACUAGCCACUGAACUUUCAACCUGCUGAUCCAAUGCUCCUUCCUGAAAGCAAUGAAUCUGCUGACAUAGUUUGGGUCAUCUUCACAGCUGGUCCAGGAGACCUUCCUAGGAAGAACAAAACCAGAAGGGAAGCCCAGAGGAUGUCUGCUGCUGCUAACCAACCUUGGCCUGCUGUUACAGCUAAGGCCAUGGUGACAACCUGCAAAGUGCAAGUGCACCAGCCCUUCCCCCUUCGACGAAAUCCUGGCCUUUGGGACUGGCGGACUUGUAAAGCUAAAUGAAACGUGCCCCAGCGUUGGCUUCUGCUGAGAAAACGCAGUGGCAGGUGUGUGAGACACAUCAGCACCUCCAUAUUAGUUAUGAUUUGAAUGCUUUAAACACGUAUUCGGGUGGAGGAUGAGUCUGACGGUUGGACUGCACUUCUUGUGCAUGAUGGUGGUUCGCCCAGAGGGAAAGAUGGUACCGUAAAGGCGUCACUGGGGCGGGAGUCCCAGCACACUAAGGGGAGAGGAUCAGGUGGUGAUGAAAAAGUGUUUUUUCAAAGCAUCACAACAGUUCCGGCAAGUGCAGAUUAGUUAGAUUAAUUCUGUUUAACGCAUCAAAAUGUUUCCUUUACAUCAGAAAUAAACAAAGUUUUAAAAAGAAGUUUUAAAAAGUG